CCCCGCUUCGACCGGCCAGCCUCACCGUAGGUCUCGGCCAUGGCUCAGUGGCGACCGCUGAGGGCCGCAAUAUGGCGCCGCGGCCGCGCCUGCUCCUCGGCUGGCAGCCGCUCCACUUGGGCUGCAGCCUCAGCUCCUUUCCACUCCCGGACCCGGCGCCGCCACUUCCGCCUUCACCCCCCCACUCCCGCGCGAACCUCCAGAGCUGCGGAUACCAGGCCACGCUUGCCCAACGCCGGGAUUGGCGGACUCGGAAGGCAGCGGGCGGGACGGAUGGCGCAGAUUGGUGUCAUGUUAGGGGCCGAGUCGAAAGGGGCGUAACCCAGGUUUCAGAAUCAGGUCCUCCCGAACAAUGCUACUGGGGAAGUAGCCCAGGCGGGCAGCCGCAUCUCCAUAGUAAUCUCCCUGAACCUGGAGAAGAACUUGUAAGUCCAUCUGGGAAAAAAAGGGCACUCGUGCCUGCUGAACUCCAGUGCACAAUCUCUCAUUUGAACCUCAGCUUAACGUCACUUGCUUGUGGCCAGAAUGUAGCCACCAUAACUAAUCCUCACAAUGGCAUGUUUGCUGGCACUUCUGAUGGUAAGCUGGUUGCCUGUCUCCACCCAUUAGAAAUGAAAGGGGUUGUUCACUGAUAUAGCUGAGGUCUGGAAAAGAGCUUGGAACCAAGCUGCCCUGUAAUUGCUAAAGUAAAAAUGCAAUAAGUGAUAAAAUAUCCUUACCCCCCAAAUCUGUGCCCCCCCUCACCCAAAUUUUCCCUUCAGAGGGAAAACAGGGUACUCCAUACCCUUCCCUCUAAUACUGAAGACUCACACUGCCUCCCCAGAAGAGCCGUCCACGGCCCUUCAGCUUGGAGAAGACAUACACCACUUGGCCCCUGUACACAUUCAAGAAGCGGCAAUCAGGAGCCACGUAGUCCUGAAGGGCCACAGCCAUGGAGAUAGGAUCUGGAGAAGGAGACGGGAAUGACAGCAACAUCAACACAGACCAGCAGUCCAAGCCCUCAGCCCCUUGCCCUUCUUCCCUGACUCUUACGGCUGCAUUCCUCAUCCGCACACAGCUUCCACUCAGCCAGCUUGGGCAUGUCACGAUCAGCCCCGCUGGGCCCUGGGAAAACAGACAAGAAGAUGGCACCAAGGAGUACUGGGGACCGCACCAUCAUGGACUGAGAAUGACCAAGUGAGGAAUGGGAUCUCCAGUCUCCUCCUGCCCUCCCUCAGUGCUGAGCCACAAGGAAAGCUGUGUUCUCAAUCCUGUCUCCGCCCCAGACCAAAUUACACUUCCCCCACCCACUCCCCAAGGUUGUUAUUCAGCCAGAACCAUUUCAGAGACAGGGUAAGGGCUAUGGGCCAAAGAAAAUGCCCCCUGGAGCCCAAAGCAACCCAGGCCAUUCCAAAUAGCAGCUACCCCCUCAAUAAUCAGAGACCUGGAUAGGCAGGCUGAUCUAAUCUGAUUCCUUCUUCAAGUCAUUUCAGGCACCCGGACCCUCCAGAGACCAAACUAGAGAGGCCAGCAUAGAAAACCACCUUGGAAUUUCCUGUGUUGAGAACAAGGCCGCUCUGUGAUUAGCAGCCACAGCCACAGUUCCCAGGUACUGAGCAAACACCCAAUGUCCGGUCUCAGGCUGGGACUGUCCCGACUGGCUUACUGUGCAUCUUCACAGGCUUCUUCCUCCCUGGAAGGCCUGAGCUAAGUUAUGUUCGCCUCCCUCAUCUGCAAAGACAGCAAUGAAAGCAAAGGACAUCUAUCAAGUGUUAUUUUUGUUUGGGUGUGUGAAUGUUUUGUUACAUAUAUGUCUGUGUACUGCAUGUGUGCUUGGUACCCUUGAAGGUUUUGGAACUGGAGCUAGACAGUGACAGUUGUGUGCCCCCACAAUUAAACCUGAGUCUAGAAGAGCAGCCACUGCUCUGCUCUUAACUGCUGAGCCAUCAUUCCAGCACACACACGCACCCCUUUUGUUUUUAAUGUUCAUUGGUGUUUUACCUGCAUGUAUGUCUGUGUGAGGCUGUCAGUUACAGUUGUUAGCUGCGAUGUGGAUGCUGGGAAUUGAACCCAGGUCCUCUGGAAGAGCAGUCAGUACUCUUAACUGUGGAGCCAUUUCUCAAACCCCCAGUCCACCUGUUUGUGGAAACAGGGUUCUACUACAUAGUCUUGGCUGUUCUGGGACUCCCUAUAUAGACCAGGCUGGCCUCAAAGUUACAAGGGAUCAACCUGCCUCUGCCUUCCCAGUGAUGGGUAAGGCAUGCACCACCAUACAGGGUUAGAAUCAUGUAUAUUUUUCCCCUAGGGGCUCUGACAAGCCCAGUUCAUGAAGAAAUUAUUAAGUCAAGGAACAUGUGUGCAAAGUAACUGAACCAGGAAGGGGGCCAAGAUUCGUCUCAAGGUUUCCAAGUAUCAUUGUUAUCUGGCCUGAGAAAUAGCUCAUCAACAGAUAAGCAGGGAAGAGGCCCAAAAACUGUUCAGGGACCUCAUAAAGAUGUUAUGACUUAGUGGCUAUGGCAGCUUGAAUGAGAACGGUGCCUAUAGGCUAAUACAGUUGAGUGGUUCUCAGUUGUUGAGCUAUUUAGGCAAAAACCCAGCUCUCUGCCUCCAUCUGGCAGAUCAGAUGUAAGCUCCAGCACCAUGCUGGCCUAUUGCCAUGAUAGCCACCAUGAUGGCCAUGAACUAAUCCUCCCAAACUGUAAACAAGCCAAGUAAAUGUUUUCUUUUUAAA